UUGGAGUUUUCUUAUUCCUGGAGCA
rnacentral:piRNA from 1 species